rnacentral:rRNA from 1 species
GACGAACGCUGGCGGCGUGCCUAAUACAUGCAAGUUGAGCGCUGAAGGCUGGUACUUGUACCGACCGGAUGAGCCGCGAACGGGUGAGUCACGCGUGGGGAAUCUGCCUUUGAGCGGGGGAAAACCAUUGGAAACGAAUGCUAAUACCGCAUAAAAACUUUAAACACAAGUUUGAAGUUUGAAAGAUGCAAUUGCAUCACUCAAAGAUGAUCCCGCGUUGUAUUAGCUAGUUGGUGAGGUAAAGGCUCACUAAGGCGAGGUUACAUAGCCGACAUGAGAGGAUGAGCAGCCACACUGGGACUGUGACACGGCCCAAACUGCUUGAGGUGGCAGCAAUAGUGCAUCGGCGGCAAUGAGCGAGAGACUGACCGAGCAACGCCGCAGGAGUGAAGAGGGAUGUCGGAUCGUAAAACUCUGUUGGUAGAGAAGAACGUGGGUGAGAGUGGAAAGCUCAGCAAGUGACGGUAACGACCCAGAAAGGGACGGCUAACUACGUG